AUUGAACGCUGGCGGCAUGCCUUACACAUGCAAGUCGAACGGCAGCACGGGUGCUUGCACCUGGUGGCGAGUGGCGAACGGGUGAGUAAUACAUCGGAACAUGUCCUGUAGUGGGGGAUAGCCCGGCGAAAGCCGGAUUAAUACCGCAUACGAUCUACGGAUGAAAGCGGGGGCCCUUCGGGCCUCGCGCUAUAGGGUUGGCCGAUGGCUGAUUAGCUAGUUGGUGGGGUAAAGGCCUACCAAGGCGACGAUCAGUAGCUGGUCUGAGAGGACGACCAGCCACACUGGGACUGAGACACGGCCCAGACUCCUACGGGAGGCAGCAGUGGGGAAUUUUGGACAAUGGGCGAAAGCCUGAUCCAGCAAUGCCGCGUGUGUGAAGAAGGCCUUCGGGUUGUAAAGCACUUUUGUCCGGAAAGAAAUCCUUGGCCCUAAUACGGUCGGGGGGAUGACGGUACCGGAAGAAUAAGCACCGGCUAACUACGUG
rnacentral:rRNA from 1 species